UACAGAGGUCUCAAGCGUUGUUCGGAUUCAUUGGGCGUAAAGGGUGCGUAGGCGGCGCGGUAAGUCGGGUGUGAAAUCUCGGAGCUUAACUUGGAAACUGCCAUUGAUACUAUCAGUCUUGAAUAUUGUGGAGGUCAGCGGAAUAUGUCAUGUAGCGGUGAAAUGCUUAGAUAUGACAUAGAACACCAAUUGCGAAGGCAGCUGGCUACACAUAUAUUGACACUGAGGCACGAAAGCGUGGGGAUCAAACAGG
rnacentral:rRNA from 1 species